rnacentral:rRNA from 1 species
UACGGAGGACCCGAGCGUUAUCCGGAUUUAUUGGGUUUAAAGGGUGCGUAGGCGGUUUGAUAAGUUAGAGGUGAAAUGUCGGGGCUCAACCCCGAAACUGCCUCUAAUACUGUUGGACUAGAGAAUAGUUGCGGUAGGCGGAAUGUAUGGUGUAGCGGUGAAAUGCUUAGAGAUCAUACAGAACACCGAUUGCGAAGGCAGCUUACCAAACUAUAUCUGACGUUGAGGCACGAAAGCGUGGGUAGCAAACAGG